AAGUAGAUUCGGAUAUGAAAUGAUGAAAAAACUUUAUUUUCGUACGAUUCUCAAUUUAAAAAGAUGUAUUUAAC
rnacentral:sRNA from 1 species